CUUGUGGUGCCUCGCCUUUGUCCCGCGCCCUCUCAGAGGGCAGGAGAGUGCCUGCGAAGCUGGGGCCUGGCCCACCCCCGGCGGUGAAGCCCUCUGCCCCCCCCCCCCCGCAGUGUUAUCUGCAGUGUCCCUGAGCCGGGGGGUGGCUGGAGGGGGGCCGGGGGCAAGGAGUCAGCCCCGCCGUCUGCCUGGGUGACGGCGGGGACCCGCUGCUCCUCCCGCCGGCACAGAGGCGGCCCCUUCUCUCGGGUGUGGACAAGGCAGGCCCUGGGGGUGUGCAGGGGAAGCCCCUGCCGAGAGCGGAUGAAGGGAGAAGUGGGGCUCCGGCUCUGAGAGACCCUGAGAGGAGCCGCCUCAGUGGCCCCCUCACACCGGGCAGGGGCCCUCUUCCAGCCCCUCCGCUGAUGCCCGCAGUCCACAUCCAUGGUGCCCUCCAGGCCCGGCCCUGGCUGGCCGCCGUCGCAGGAGGAGGAAAUGCUGCGGAAGACAGUGUCGGCCCUUGAGAGCUGGAAAGUGAAAGCGAAGUCGCUCAGUCCUGUCUGACUCUGCAGUGUUAUUUCUUGUAGCCCGCCAGGCUCCUCCAUCUGUGGGGUUUUCCAGACAAGAAUACUGGAGUGGGUUGCCAUUUUCUUCACCAGGGGAUCUUCCCCACCCCUGGGAUCAAACUCAGGUCUUCCAACAUUGCAGGCAGACUCUUGACCCGCUGAGCCCCCGGGGAAUCCCCUUCGGAACUGAGCAUCUUGCUAAAGGCAAGCCUCCCCAGGCAGAGGCCGCCCCUGAUGCAGAGGUGGGUGUGGGUGCAGAAAGGUGUCUUGAUGCCAGAUGCACCCCGGGGUGCCCAGGUCCAUGCCUGGUGGGUAAGGACGCGGGCCCUCUGGCCACAUGAACAGAUAACAGUACUGACUCCAGGGGCGGUAGAAAGCACGGCGCUACCUCUGUGACUGUGCUCUGGGCCACGCCCCCAAAUUCUGGGAAGCCAGGGGCCUAGCCAGAACAGGCUGGCUGGUGAGAAGGACCCGCAGAAGCAGCGUCACCCUGCCUUCUUCAGCACGCGCGCGCAUGGCGUCUUAUCCAACCA
ensembl:lncRNA